ACAGAUAGCUGGAUGAUCGCCGCUUGUCGAAAGACAAGGGGAGGAAAGUCCGGGCUCCACGGAAAUACGAUGCCGGUUAAUGGCCGGCGGGGGCGACCCCAGGGAAAGUGCCACAGAAAGCAAACCGCCCGGGAUUUCCGGGUAAGGGUGAAAGGGUGCGGUAAGAGCGCACCGCGCGCCUGGUAACAGGAGCGGCACGGUAAACCCCAUCGGGAGCAAAACCAAAUAGGGAUGGUCGGCGCAGGGGCAACCUGUGCGCAAGCCGGUUUUCCGGGCUAUCAUCCGGGUUGGUUGCUUGAGGUGUCUGGUAACAGGCAUCCUAGAUGAAUGAUCAUCACCUGCAUUCAGGGACAGAACCCGGCUUACAGGCUAUCUGUCUUA
rnacentral:RNase_P_RNA from 1 species